ACUGCAGGCUGCAACUCGCCUGCACGAAGUCGGAAUUGCUAGUAAUCGCGGAUCAGCAUGCCGCGGUGAAUACGUUCCCGGGCCUUGUACACACCGCCCGUCACACCAUGAGAGUCGGGAACACCCGAAGUCCGUAGUCUAACCCGCAAGGGAGGGCGCGGCCGAAGGUGGGUCCGGUAAUUGGGGUGAAGUCGUAACAAGGUACC
rnacentral:rRNA from 1 species